rnacentral:rRNA from 1 species
AUACGGGGGGGGCGAGCGUUGUCCGAAUUUAUUGGGCGUAAAGCGCGUGUAGGCGGAUCGUCAAGCCUGGGGUGAAAGGUCGGGGCUCAACCCCGUACAGUGCCUUGGGGACUGGCGGUCUGGAGGCAGGCAGAGGAGCGUGGAAUUCCUGGUGUAGCGGUGGAAUGCGUAGAGAUCAGGAAGAAUACCAGUGGCGAAGGCGGCGCUCUGGGCCUGUACUGACGCUGAGACGCGAAAGCGUGGGGAGCGAACGGGAUUAGAUACCCCGGUAGUCCACGCCGUAAACGAUGGAUGCUCGGUGUCGGGGGUAUCGACCCCCUCGGCGCCUCAGGUAACCCGGUAAGCAUCCCGCCUGGGGAGUACGGCCGCAAGGUUGAA